ensembl:lncRNA HEPACAM family member 2-like
GAGGAGGAGGAGAGGAAAGGAGGGGAGAGGAGGGAAGGGAGGAAGAGGAGGAAAAGGAGGGAGGGGAAGCAGGGGAGGAGGAGGAGGAGGAGGAGGCGGAGGGGAGGACAGGGCCCGCCCGCUGCCGCCCUAAGGAACCGCCGGGGCCUCGUGGCGGAGCUGCCGCCGCUCCGGCCCCGCCGAUGUUCCCCGUCCCCUUCCUCCUCCUCCUCCUCCCCCUCCUCCUCGGCCCCGGCAGUGCGGCGGCCGCCCCGGCGGUCACAGCCCGCACGCUCGCUCCCUGCUUCUCGGCCGACCUGCGCCCGGCCGUGGGGAGCCUGGUGUCGGCCGUGGGCUGCAGCGUGCUGCUGACGGCGCCCGUGCAGCGCGGCAGCGGCACCGUGCUCUGGGAGUACCGGGUGUUGCUGCAGCAGGGGGACGACGGCAGCUUCUACCGCCUCAGGACCCAGGAGGAGACCACGGCCUGGUUCCAUCUGCACGUCCUGGAGCCGCUGUCCCCACCGAGAAUCGAGGGCAGCUCCUUGGUGAAGGCAGGAGGCAACACCAAACUGGUUUGCCACGUGCUGGAUGGGAAGGCUGACGCCUUCUGGUGGAAGAAGAACGGGGAGCCGCUCCCGGAAAGUGAUCGAAUCCAGCUGGUGAGGAACACCACGCUCUACAUCCUGCGGGUGUCCAUCAGCGACAGCGGCUACUACACGUGCGCGGUGAGGAACGCCGUGAGCCACAACGAGACCUCCUUCCUGCUCAAAGUCCACCACUCUGCCAACGUGGUGCUGCCUGUGGUCCUGGCCUGUGUCAUCAUUGGCAUGCUCGCAGGUGUCUUUGUCUGGUGGCAGAGAAAGGAGGACUCAUGUGACAGCUGUUGGUAGAGCUGGCUGAGCUGCUGUCCCUCCCUGGUGAUGGCUCCUCUGGGAGUGCCGGGUAUCCCAUCCCAGCCUCUCCUGGCUCACCUGUCAAGUGUUCAAGCUGCCAGAACCUGCAAAUAUUUUUUUGGAAAACUUGGGUUUGGACUCUCUCUGUGUUGUCCUGCUCUUCCUGUUGUGCAUCCCUGGGGAGAGGGAUGUUCCUGCUGCCCCCUCCAUCCUCCUGGCUUCCUCCAGGGGCCUCCAUGGGCUCACAGCUCUGCAGAGACUUCAGUUUCUGAAAGCAGAUCCCAGGGAAAUCCUGCAGCCAGCUGAGGAGGGGAUGCCCAUCUCCUCCCCCCUGGGCUCUGCAGCAUCUGGGGACAUCCCUGGGGACAUCCCUGGGGACAUCCCUGGGGACAUCCCCUCCUCUUCCCAGCACCGUGCUGGUGCCAGCUUGUCCUUCCUGUUUGCUGCUCCUGCGAGUGACAUCAGCCCUGGCUGGCUGCAUCCAGGGAGCCCUGCUCCUGUCCCUGCUGUCCCCUGCUGUCCCCUGCUGUCCCUACUGUCCCUGCUCCUGUCCCUUGCUGUCCCCUGCUGUCCCUGCUCCUGUCCCCUCCUGUCUCCUCCUGUCCCCUGCUGUCCCUGCUGUCCCUGCUCCUGUCCCUGCUGUCCCCUCCUGUCCCCACUGUCCCCUGCUGUCCCCUGCUGUCCCCUGCUGUCCCCACUGUCCCUGCUGUCCCCACUGUCCCCUCCCUCCCCGUGCUGUCUCUGCAGGGCUGUCCUGGCCUUUGCUGUGCAGGGGAUGCUGCUCCUUCAGCCGAGUCUGGAGAGCGCUGGGGUCUGUGCCAGGUGCUGGACCCCACUCUUGGUCACCCUGGCACAUUUGCAGCCCGUUUUAGUGUGAGGGGGAGAUCCCAGCCCCAGGGAUCCCUGAGCCAGUCCCCAGCACCUCUGGAGCAGGCUGGGGACCUCUCAAAGGCAAACUGGAAAACUGGGGGAGUCUGAGGGGUUUUGUGGAGCCAUGAAAGGAAGUUUGGGUGGGAUAAAUGAGAUUGCAGCCCCGUUGGAAGCUGCAGGGCAGGUUGUCACGUUCUCUGUUGCACUCGAGGGUGUAAAACGUAGCCAGAUGUUUUACAAGAAAUGCUUUCCUCAGUGUUUUGGGGAGUUGUCUGUGAAUGCUUUUGGAGACUCUGUGGUUUGUUGGAGUCUGUUGCUGCUAACAAAGAGUGUGUGUUAUCCCAGAAGGUUUUGCUGUGCUGUUUGGGGGUGGGCAGUGGGGCUGGUGGCAGGUCUGGGAAUGCUGGAUUCAUCCCUGGCUCCGGGAGGGCCCUGGGUUAGGGCAAAAAAGAAAUCUCUGAAUGGAUUCCUUGCAGAAAGCAAAUUCAAGCAGCCCCUCCCCCAAGGGGUUUGGGAAAAGAUUUCCUUGGAGAAAAGUGUAAAAGCUUUAUUUACUUUAUUUUGUUUAUUUAACAAGCAGAGUAUUCACAAGCGUGAAAAAUGACUAAUAUUAAUAAAACCUCUCUCAGUUCUGAAGGGGUGGCA